CUUGUCGGAUCCAGAUCAUCAUGACAUCGGUUUUGCUUUGUCUCUCUCCCAACAAAUGGAAAUAGUCGAAGAAGAAAUUACUUCGUUUCACACAGCAACUGACAAAAUCUGCAGCAUCAGGUAUUCUAAUUUUACUUCUUCAUAUUAUAAUACCGACAAUCAACAGCAGAAUCUUCUUGUGGGAUUGGAUGACCAAAUUACAGCUCUAAAAAAAUGGAUUUUCGAUCCCAAUUCUCAUGUCUUAGUUAAAUCAGUUGUGGGCAUGACCGGAAUCGGCAAGACUAGUCUUGUUAAACAAGUUUACAACGACCCACUUGUUAUAAAAGAGUUCGAAGCUCGUUUAUUUCUGCACAUCGGCCCAGGCUACACUCGAUGGAAAGAUAUUAUGCUGCGUGUUCUCGAUGAACUUGGUGUUGUCAUCUCUUCUGAUAAACUAGACGACAAGAAUUAUUUGGAGAAUCAAUUUUGGGAGGCUUUAUCUACUCAAAAGUAUCUAAUUGUCUUAGACGAUGUAUGGGCUGACGACUAUCAUCUUAUAAUGCCUGGAAACAGAAAAGGAAGUCAGAUCAUCAUCAUAUCUCAGAUCCAAAGAUUUUAUGACUACAUUUAUACACAAAAGUUUAUUAUAUUACCAUUUCUCAACGACGACAACAGUUGGAAACUACUUCAUCAUACCGCAUUUAGUAAUAGAGAGGAGAAGUGCAGUCGAGAACUUGAGAAAAUUGGGAAGAAGAUUGCCAAGAACUGUGAAGGACUCCCUGCAGCAAUUAUACAGGUUGGAGAGAAUCUACGUGGAAAAUCUUUUGAAGAAUGGAAAACAUUAUCAGAAAAAGAAGAUCCACUCGUCAUCACAAGAUAUGACGAUACGCCACUCUCAAAGGCACUAUUUUUUAGUUACAUGAUGUUGCCUCUGCAUCUAAAGCCAUUCUUUUUGUAUAUGGGUGUGUUCCCAAAACAUUAUGCGAUUUCUCGAUCAAAGCUCAUCAAAUUAUGGGUCUCAGAGGGCUUUCUGGGGACAGACCCGGGGAUUGAAGAAAUUGCUGGAAACGCCUUGGAUCUACUUAUUCUGCAAAGUGUUGUUUUGAGAGAAAAGCACGCUUCUGUCACUUCGUAUAAAUUUAAGAACUGUAGACUGCAUUUCACCUUUCGAAGUCUAUGUGUUAGUGAAGCUAAGAGUGAAAAGUUUUUCCAUAUCCUGAAAAAAUACACCGAUUGUACUCCAGAGAACAUCAGAAGACAACAGCGUUUGUGCGUCCACAAUAAUGUUGUUUUUGCUUUCACACAAGUUCAUGAAUGGAUGGAAUCAGUACCUAAUGUACGAUCUCUUCUGUGUUUCGGUCCAAAACAACAAUAUCCAGUAUUGUUGCCCUUGUGUUUUAGAUUGCUCAAGGUACUAGAUGCACUUGCGAUCCGCUUCUACGAGUUCCCUCAUCAACUACUUGCAUUAGUUCACUUGAUGUACCUUUCCAUCACGUGUGAUAGAGAGCUCCCCAACUCCAUAUCCACACUUUGGAACCUCGAGGUACUGAUUUUCACUCGGCAUCAUAACAUCAAAUUGUCGAAUAAUGAUCCAAUUUAUCUGCCUAUAGAUAUCUGGAACAUGCAUAAACUGAAACAACUUUAUUGCAAGGGCUUCGACCUCCCACCUCCUCCGGAUGAUUGUCAUCUUGAGAGUCUCUUAACAAUUUCAGGUGUGAGUGUUCACAGUUGUACCGUAGAAGUGCUUUCAAGAAUCCCCAAGCUAACGAGAAUAGCCGUUCAAAUUGAGUCAGCACACGACUCAACCGAAACCUUCAGUUUUUUCGGUCAUUUAGCCUCUGUCUAUGAUGAAUUUGUGUCAUUCAAAUGCGUCGUUGUAAAUCCUAAUCUGAGCUCUCAAAUUGUUCGUUCAGUUCCGAACUUUCCUAUGAGCAUUAGGAAGAUAAGCCUGAGUGGAUGUGGAUUUCCUUGGGAGAAUAUGGAAGUGAUUGCUUCAUUACCUAAUCUUAUAGUGCUCAAACUGCGAUGGUAUGCCUUUUGCGGCCCUCUGUGGAAAACCAGCCAAGGACAGUUCCCCAGUCUGGAGUUUUUGCUGCUAGAAGACUUGGAUAUAGAGAACUUGGAAUUUGACAUUCAAUCCUUAAGGUGGGUGAUUGUUAGGCAUUGCUAUAAAUUGGAAAGCAUCUCGAAUCAAUUCAAGUACACCAAACUACUAGAGAUAGAUGAUUGCAGCCCAUCCUUUAUGAAGAAAAUGCGCGAGUGGCAAUCCUUUUCCGGUGCAGAAGCUAAAAUAAGUUCUUCAAUUACUGAUCUAUAAAGGUAAUUAAUGCUAGUCAAAUCUAUGUGAAUUUUUUUAUGGUCAAUUCAAUGGUGCACUUCAAGAAUCUAAUAUUUAGAUGAUCAUAUCCUAGCAAUUUCUCCAACUUUGACUAGGACUAUAUUUAGAAACUCUUUCUUUUUUUAUGAACACGAAAAUACUCUAUUGUAGAAAAGAGUAUUGGCCUUUAUAAUAAAUUUUUCUUAGUUUAGAAAACUAGCGAAAACUAUAGCAUUCUAUUUCACUAACCUCCAGUCUCUUCAAAGUGUUUCGAACCAUUGAGCCGUUGAAACUCGAAAGAACGAGGAUGUAUACUCUAAAGAGUGAUACCAAAAAAUCAGUGGCGUCUUAGUUAAUAUUGUAUCUUUCAUCCUAUAAUCAUUUUUCAGUCCAUUAACCAUUAUAUAUCUACCAGAGCAAUUCUCUGUUGAUUUUCAACUUAGCAUGGACUAUAAUAAAUUCCGAAUGGCUAAUCGUGUGUUGCUCGGCGAUUGAAAUGUCUCAAGUAUUCAAAUGAAGAUGAAGAUUCCUAUUCGGCAAGUGUGGCAAAAUUUCAAAGCUUUCAUAAAACUCUUUAUGAUUUGAUAUUUUCCUGUUUUGGUAAACUUUUGUCUUUUUUUUUUUGGGUGAUCAUUGAAACUUAUGGUUUGGAUAAUAAUCUGAUUCAUCUGUUUACUAUGUUCUUUCAUUUACUGUCUGACAAUCUAAUUUCUGUUUGAUU